rnacentral:rRNA from 1 species
UACAGAGGGGGCAAGCGUUGUUCGGAAUUACUGGGCGUAAAGGGCGCGUAGGCGGCAAUUCAAGUCAGCUGUGAAAUCUCCGGGCUUAACUCGGAACGGUCAGCUGAUACUGCUUUGCUAGAGUGCGGAAGGGGCAAUCGGAAUUCUCGGUGUAGCGGUGAAAUGCGUAGAUAUCGAGAGGAACACCUGCGGCGAAGGCGGGUUGCUGGGCUGACACUGACGCUGAUGCGCGAAGCCAGGGGAGCGAAGCGGG